GACGAACGCUGGCGGCGUGCUUAACACAUGCAAGUCGAACGGAAAGGCCCUGCUUUUGUGGGGUGCUCGAGUGGCGAACGGGUGAGUAACACGUGAGUAACCUGCCCUUGACUUUGGGAUAACUUCAGGAAACUGGGGCUAAUACCGGAUAGGAGCUCCUGCUGCAUGGUGGGGGUUGGAAAGUUUCGGCGGUUGGGGAUGGACUCGCGGCUUAUCAGCUUGUUGGUGGGGUAGUGGCUUACCAAGGCUUUGACGGGUAGCCGGCCUGAGAGAGUGACCGGCCACAUUGGGACUGAGAUACGGCCCAGACUCCUACGGGAGGCAGCAGUGGGGAAUAUUGCACAAUGGGCGGAAGCCUGAUGCAGCAACGCCACGUGCGGGAUGACGGCCUUCGGGUUGUAAACCGCUUUCGCCUGUGACGAAGCGUGAGUGACGGUAAUGGGUAAAGAAGCACCGGCUAACUACGUG
rnacentral:rRNA from 1 species